GCAAGUCACUUAGCCUUUAUCUGACUCAGUUUCCUUGCUUGUAAAAUGAGGAUCAUGACAGCAUCUACCACCCGGAGUUGCUGUGUUGAUAAAAUAACAUAGUAUUUGUAAAGUACUUUGCAAACCUUAGAGUGCCAUGUAAGUGCUAGCAUAUAAUGAAUCCAAAUUCUCUCUCUCUCUCUCUCUCUCUCUCUCUCUCUCUCUCUCUCUAGCUAGGAAGAGUUCUCUAACAGAGGUAUUAUUAUCUCCUGGACACUGGGACAUUAUGACAUUAUGAUAAUCAAUAAAUCCUUACAUUGUAAACUGAUUACACUGAUUGUGUUUAUGCAAUCAAUAAACCCUUGCACUGGGAAUAGACCAAGAAAAAAAACAGCUUCUGUCCUCAAGGACCUUAUAUUAUAAAAAUGUGAAAAAGCAUGACAUAUUUAUAUUGGACUUUGUGGUAACAAAAAGAUUCAUAAAUACUAUGUGCCAUUAGAUUGCCACAACAAUUCAAAGAGAUAUGUAGUAUUUGAAGAAGGGAAAGUGAUUCUGGAUUUGUGGAGAAAAUACUGACCUUCCUGACCCUUAAUAGCUGCGAUAAGGGCAAGAGUUGGUAUCAGCUGUUGUAACAGCAACGCUAAGUGAAGUGAUGCAGAAUUCCAGCAGAGGGCAGAAGAGAGCUUCUUUAGCAUUCUCUCCACGGAGAGAAAAAGAUCUGGCAUUUCAGCUGACCCUCAGUUUCUCCUUUGAGGAAAGAGUGCAGUCAGUUCCAGAAGAUGCUGAGUCUUCUAUUGCUUCUAGGACCCAGUUCUGGGCUUGGUGCUCUCAUCUCUCAGCAACCAAGUAGAGCCAUCUGGAAGAAGGGAUCUUCUGCACUGAUCCACUGUCAUCAGAUUGAUAGCCAAUUAACCUUCAUGUACUGGUAUCGUCAGCUUCCUCAACAGAGCUUGGUACUGAUGGCUACUGCGAAUCAGGGCACCCCAAGCAACUAUGAGGAGGGUUUUAAUAAGGACAAGUUCCCCAUCAGUCGUCCAGAUACAAAAUCCUCUACUCUGGAAGUAAUUGAUUUGGGUCCCAAAGACAGUGGCAUUUAUUUCUGCAGUGCCAGUGACACAGAAUGUGACUUGAAUCAGAGACCAGAACAAGAACCAUUCCUUUUUCUCUUUCUCACAGCUGGCCUAUGUGGGGGCCCUGAAGAAGGUAGCAAACUGAAGUUUUGGCUAAGACAGAGUAUACUGGAGAAUUAUCAGAUGAGGUGGGGUAGGUGAUCUUAAAUCAUCUAAUGAAAAGAGAAACAGGCAGGGUAACAUAUUGCAAGAGACUCUUGGAAAGACCAUGGAGGACUUCUUGGGAUCUGACAUUAAAUAUACCUUCCAGGAGAAGGCUAAGAAACAAACACUAUACAAUUCCUCAAGAGAUACAUGGUAAAAAGAUAUGAAUGAUUUCCAAAAGAAUAAUUGCAACCUAACAGGAGCCUUAU